UCUUUUCUUUUCCUUUCUUCUUUUUGGUUCCUUCUCCUUCUUUACAAGUUUGGAUUUGGUUGUAGAAAAGGUUUAAAGAAGCAGAACACAGCUGAGACUACCAACAAUUUCGGAGCAUUUCACAAGGAUGGUAUCACUUCAUUCUUCUCUUGCCAAAUUGGUCUUCAACUUAUAGUGCUAAUUUGAGGAUCUUGAACUACUUUCUGGUAUUGAAACUGUAGGGGGUUUGGGAGCUGGUGGAAGCAGGCUUUGUGGAUCAAGCAGGCUCUGACGAGGAGGCAGACAAAUUGAAAGGGAUAAAAAAGAACGACGCGAAAGCGUUGUUCCUGAUUCAACAAGCAGUCCAUGACACAAUUUUUGCAAGAAUUGCAGCAGCAACUACAUCUUCGGAGGCAUGGAAGAUUUUGAAGAAGGAAUUUCAAGGUUCAGCCAAGGUGAUUACGGUAAAAUUGCAAACUUAUCGUCGUGACUUUGAAACUCUUUUUAUGAAAAGUAAUGAAUCUGUUCAGACUUAUUUGUCUAGAGUUUCUUCUCUUGUUAAUCAAAUGAAGUCUUAUGGUGAAGAUAUAUCUGUGGAAACUGUAGUAGCAAAAGUUUUAAGGAGUCUUACUCCAAAGUCUGAACAUGUUGUUGCUGUGAUAGAGGAAUCUCAUAACUUAUCUGAUUAUACUUUUGAUGAACUAAUGAGUUCUUUGCAAGCUCAUGAAGAGAGGAUCCUAAGGUCACAUGAGAAAAAUGAAGAGAAGGCAUUUCAGGUGAAGGGGAGUCCACUCCUAAAAAGGAUAAGUUAGAAAACUUUGCAAAUCGUGGCCGAGGCAGAGGUGGCUUUCGAGGAAGAGGCCAAGGAAGGAGUCGAGAUAGAGGAGGAUCAAAUGAAGAGAAGCAUAACAAAACGUUUCUAUGCAACUACUGCAGAAAACCAGGUCAUAAAGAAGCUUAUUGCUGGCAAAAGAAAAAGGAUGAAAAUAGCCAAGCAAGCUUUGCAGAGGAAAAUGAUGAUGAAAGUAAGCUGUUCAUUGCCCUUUAUUGUGAAAAAAAGACUCCUAAUGAUGUUUGGUUUUUGGACAGUGGAUGUUCCAACCAUAUGUCUGGAACAAGACCUUUGUUCAAGGAGCUCGAUGAGUCCAAAAAGUCAGACGUAAGGCUAGGAGACAACAAGAAGAUUUAGGUUGAAGGCAGAGGUACUUUUAGCAUCAUGACCAACCGAGGUAAUGCUAAAAUUUUAGAAGAUGUGAUGUUUAUUCCUAGUCUAUCUCAUAAUUUACUUAGCAUUGGACAAUUAAUAAUUAGCGGAUACUCGAUUUCUUUUGACGAUGGUGUUUGCACUAUUAAAAAUAAGAAAUCUGGGAAAACCAUUGCUAAAGUUUCAAUGACUAAUAAUAAAAAAUUUUCUUUAGAAGUUUCAAUGGUCGAGAAAUGUGCGAUGGUAGCUAAUGGUGAUAAUGAAACUAGACUAUGGCAUCUGCGCUAUGGGCAUUUAAAUGUUAAUGGGUUGAAGUUAUUGAGUCAAAAGGAAAUGGUUUUUGGAUUGCCAAAAGUUGAGAAUCUUGAUUUUUGUGAAAGUUGUGGUUAAGGAAAACAAAGUAAAAAGGUUUUUCCUGUAGGCAAGUCUUGGAGAGCUUCUAUUUGUCUUGAGUUAGUUCAUGCAGAUUUGUGCGGUCCUAUGAGUGUUGAGUCCUUAGGGGGAAGUCGAUACUUUUUGCUUUUUACUGAUGACUAUAGUCGUAUGAGUUGGAUAUAUUUCUUGAAAUUUAAAUCUGAAACAUUUGGCAAUUUCAAGAAAUUUAAAUCUUUUGUUGAGAGACAAAGUGAAUGUACGCUCAAAACUCUUCGGACAGAUAGAGGUGGUGAGUUUAUGUCUAAAGAAUUCAGUUCCUUUUGUGAAGAAAAUGGAAUACAUCGGGAGCUCACAGCACCUUAUACACCAGAGCAGAAUGGUGUAGCCGAACGAAAGAACCGCACAGUUGUUGAGAUGGGCAGAAGCAUGAUGGAAGGGAGAAGUUUACUGAAAUGUUUUUGGGCUGAAGCUGUUGCCACUGCAGUCUAUUUGCUGAAUAUUUCCCCCACCAAGGCUGUGUAUAGUCAAACACCGUAUGAAGCUUAGAGAGGUAACAAGCCCAAGUAAGCCACUUACGUGUCUUUGGUUGUAUAGCUUAUGCGUUGGUAAAUUCACAAGAUCGACGUAAGCUUGAUGAAAAAUGUAUCUUUGUUGGAUAUAGUACACAAUCCAAGGCUUAUAAGCUAUAUAAUCCAGUGAGUGGCAAAAUUACAGUCAAUAGAAAUGUUGUGUUUAAUGAAGAUUCAAGAUGGAACUUUAAUUCUGAAAAUGAAAGUUCAAAUAUUCAAUUAUUGCCUUCUGACAAUAUUGUUGAUCAAGAGUAUGCAGUAGAUCCUGGUUUGGCAGGUCCAUCGACUACCUCAUCAGUUGCACCACCAACUUCUCCAAUAUUAGAAGAACCUUCAGCUGAGCCAACUCCAUUAAGAAGAUCGAUAAGGGAUAGAAACCAAAUCCCAGAUAUGCUGACAGACAGUACAUCUUGUACUUUUGCUUUACUUGUUUCAGAUCCUAUUUUCUUUAAAGAUACCAAAGGAGAGGAUAAAUGGUGCAAAGUUAUGGAGGAAGAGCUGCUAGCUAUUCAAAAGAAUCAGACUUAGGACUUGGUAAAUUUGCCCGAAGGAAAGAAAACUAUUGGGCUCAAAUGGCUGUUUAGAAGCAAAUAUCAUGCAGAUGACAGUAUUCAAAAACACAAGGCAAGGCUUGUUGCAAAGGUUUAUUCUCAACAACAAGGUAUUGACUUCGACGAAACUUUUUCUCCUGUUGCCUUCUUUGAAACUGUGAGAACCUUUUUAGCCUUGGCUGCGAAAUUAAAUUGGCCAGUGUACCAAUUUGAUAUUAAAUCCGCCUUUUUUAAAUGGUGAUUUGGAAGAGGAAGUUUAUGUCUCACAACCUGAAGGUUUUAUAGUAAAUGGUAAAGAAGAUAAGGUUUACAGGUUAAAAAAGGCACUUUAUGGCUUGAAGCAAGCGCCGCGGACAUAGUACUUCAAAAUUGAUUCUUAUUUCCAGGAGAGUGGCAUUGAAAGGAGUAACAAUGAGCCUACUCUUUAUAUAAAAAGAGGAGGUAAAAAUGGUUUUCUGGUUGUAUGUCUUUAUGUAGACGAUAUGAUAUAUAUGGGUUCAAGUGAGUCUAUUGUCACUGAAUUUAAAGACUGCAUGAUAAAGAAUUUUGAUAUGUCCGAUUUGGGAAUGCUGCAUUACUUUUUUGGUCUUGAGGUGAAACAGGAAGUUGGUGGCAUAUUUCUUUCACAAAGAAAGUAUGCAACGGAUCUUUUGAAAAGGUUCAAUAUGGUAAAUUGUAAUGUUGCUGCUACUCCGAUGAAUAUCAAUGAGAAGUUAUGUCGUGAUGAUGGUUCUGAAAUGGCAAAUGCAACUUAUUUUAGAAGUCUGGUUGGUGGUUUGAACUACUUGUCUCAUACAUGACCAGACAUUGCUUUCUCUGUCGGUGUUGUAUCCAGAUUUAUGCACAAUCUAAGCAAGCUUCACUUUGGAGCUGCAAUGAGAAUACUUAGAUAUAUCGCUGGGACAUCAGAUCAUAGAAUUUGGUAUUCUAAGGUAACAAGUUUCACAUUAACUGGUUUUACUGAUAGUGACUAUGCAACUAUGCAGGCAACAUUGAUGAUAGAAAGAGCACCUCUGGUUUCUUGUUUAAUCUUGGAUCUGGAGCAAUUUCAUGGAGUUCAAAGAAGCAGGAAGUGGUGGCCUUGUCAACAUCAGAGGCUGAGUAUAUUGCAGCAACUUCUGCAGCUUGUCAAGCAGUUUGGUUAAGGAGACGUUGCAUAUUUUAAUCAGAAGGUAGCUGGUGCGACUGAGAUUUUUUAUGACAAUAGAUCUGUCAUUGCGAUGACGAAGAAGCCAGCUUUCCACAGUAGAACAAAGCACAUAGAUGUUCGCUAUCACUAUAUUCAAAAUCUUGUUUCUAAUGGAGAAAUUACUUUGAAGUCUUGUGGUACAAAUGAGCAAGCAGCAGACAUCUUCACCAAAUCACUUCCGCAAGCAAAGCACGAGUUCUUUAAAGGUCAACUUGGAGUUUGCAAUUUUGAAUCAAGGGGGAGUGUUGAGAAAUGAUUCAAAAAGAUUCUUGACCAAGUCUUCAGGAUGUUAGUGAGUUGUUAGUUUCCUAUAUUCUAGCAAGUUGGAUAGUGCUGCAGAUUAUUAGCUAGUCAAUAAAUUAGUGUGGUACUUCUUAAAUUUUUCUUAUUAUAAUAGUUUUAUAUU